UACGUAGGUGGCAAGCGUUGUCCGGAUUUACUGGGCGUAAAGAGUAUGUAGGCGGACAUUUAAGUAGAAAGUGAAAGGUUGGAGCUCAACUCCAACACUGCUUCCUAUACUGGGUGUCUUGAGUGCCGGAGAGGAAAGCGGAACGACACGUGUAGAGGUGAAAUGCGUUGAUAUGUGUCGGAAAACCAAUGGCGAAGGAAGCUUUGUGGAAGGAGCCGCAAGGCUUAAAACUGACGCUGAGAUACGAAAGCCGAGGGAGCGAACAGG
rnacentral:rRNA from 1 species